rnacentral:piRNA from 1 species
GUUUGCUUUGUCGGAGUGUGCGA